GACAGAAACAGCGCCUGCCCUUGCCCUAAGCCCUUGAUCUCGAGGCCUUCGAUUCAACUCCGACAAAUCAUCACAGACUUCGCCGACCCUCUUCUUUCUCUGCUUCCCUCCUCCAGCGCUGCAGAGAUCAACAAAAAUGUAGCCCUUCCUUCUCCAAGAAGCAGCCCCGACCCCCUUCUUUCUCUACUUCCCUCCUCCAGCACUCAGACAAUCAAUUCGACUCCGACAGAUCUUCUCAGUCUAUCAUUCAUCUCCUUCGCUUUCGGCACUCAAGCGAUAGACUUCGAGAGAUCAUCCUCGUCUAGCCUUCGUCUCCUUCAUGACCAGCGAUGAGGUGCCUCUUUAACUCCAUCUCCAAAAGCCCUAAUCUGUUUAAUAAGCUCCUCAUCGAUCCUCUUUGUUGUCAGAAGGGGCACCUCUUUUGCAAGUGCCUCCUCGUGCAAAAGGACAUCAAGAGUUAUCUAUUUAGGACGGAAGGCUUGUACUGGAGUAUGAAGAAGGAGUUCAGAAAUUUCCAGCACAAACAAGGAACUAUGCCAAAAUACGUGAAGUAAUCUUAUAUUCUUACAAGCAUUGUCAAAGUUGCUAGUGUUGCCACUAGUAGCAGAAUUGGAGAUUAUGUUGGUGCCGGUGCAAAAAAAGUGGCAAUGUUAGUAAUGUUAACUAGCAACAAACUGCAACUCAGAAACAAUAAAGAGAGACAAAAUGUUGAUAAUCAUAUGCUACACCUUAUUCAUUCAAUCUUCAAUCAUGAUGUCAUGUAGUGGGUGACAAAUUUGCUAGAUGGUGACAGAUUAGCUACAAUAAUGUGAUCUGGGUGACUCGUGUAAGGGGAGGGUGUAUGAAUUUCAAUGCAAUCAACACUUUGGAGUUUGGAAGAUCCAAGAAUUAAAGUUUUAAUAUAUUUGCUCUGAUGAGAAGAACAAAGAAUUAUCACAAGAACUUGAAGAUAUGCAUGUUCUACUAGCAAGAGGAUGGAGGAAGAAAUUAUUAAAAGGAAAAGGAAAUUUAAAUCGUAAUGUUUGAUUGCAUAUAUCUCAAGACGAUGUGAAUAUUUAUUUAUCUCAAUGACAAUUGUAUUGUACUUUGAAUUUAGAAAUUAGUUGUUUUUAAUAUUUUUGAAA